CGAAAGCCUGACGGAGCAACGCCGCGUGAGGGAAGAAGGUCUUUGGAUUGUAAACCUCUUUUCUCAAGGAAGAAGUCAGUGACGGUACUUGAGGAAUCAGCAUCGGCUAACUCCGUGCCAGCAGCCGCGGUAAUACGGGGGAUGCAAGCGUUAUCCGGAAUUAUUGGGCGUAAAGCGUUCGUAGGCGGUUUUAUAAGUCUGCUGUCAAAGUGCGGAGCUCAACUCCGUAAGAGCAUGGGAAACUGUGAGACUUGAGUGUGGUAGGGGUAGAGGGAAUUCCCGGUGUAGCGGUGAAAUGCGUAGAUAUUGGGAAGAACACCGGUGGCGAAAGCGCUCUACUGGGCCAUAACUGACGCUGAGGGACGAAAGCUAGGGGAGCG
rnacentral:rRNA from 1 species